rnacentral:sRNA from 1 species
GUUACCUAACCCACACUGGUAACAGUGGGGAGGUGAGUAAAUUGUUGCAAGUUUUCUUUGCCCCACUUGUGGUUGGGCUGUUGAUAGCCUUGUUCACGGACUGGUUAGACGGUAGACGCCACAAGUAAAACAAUAUUAGGUAACGUCUAACCCACCCGCUUGUGCCUACAUAAGUGUAAAAAAAGCCCCUGACUACUACCAUAGUCAGGGGCUUUGGUGAACAAAU